CAGUCGCCACGGUAAUACGGAGGAUCCAAGCGUUAUCCGGAAUCAUUGGGUUUAAAGGGUCCGUAGGCGGUCUUGUAAGUCAGUGGUGAAAGCCCAUCGCUCAACGGUGGAACGGCCAUUGAUACUGCAGGACUUGAAUUAUUGGGAAGUAACUAGAAUAUGUAGUGUAGCGGUGAAAUGCUUAGAGAUUACAUGGAAUACCAAUUGCGAAGGCAGGUUACUACCAAUUGAUUGACGCUGAUGGACGAAAGCGUGGGUAGCGAACAGGAUUAGAUACCCGUGUAGUCCCUGUCUCUUAUAC
rnacentral:rRNA from 1 species